rnacentral:rRNA from 1 species
UACGUAGGGGGCAAGCGUUGUCCGGAUUUAUUGGGCGUAAAGAGCGUGUAGGCGGCCAGAUAGGUCCGUUGUGAAAACUGGAGGCUUAACCUCCAGCGGUCGAUGGAAACCUUUGGCUAGAGUCCGGAAGAGGAGAGUGGAAUUCCUGGUGUAGCGGUGAAAUGCGCAGAUAUCAGGAAGAACACCCGUGGCGAAGGCGGGCUCUCG